rnacentral:rRNA from 1 species
GCCUGCCCACUGAUUAAUUAAAUGGCCGCAGUAAUUUGACUGUGCAAAGGUAGCAUAAUCAUUAGUUUUUUAAUUGAAAGCUUGUAUGAAUGGUUGUACGAGAUAAAAUCUGUCUCUAUUUAAAUUAUUAUAGAAUUUUAUUUUUAAGUUAAAAAGCUUAAAUAUAUAUAAAAGACGAGAAGACCCUAUAGAUCUUUAUAUUUUUUUAUAUAAUUUUAUUAAAGAAUUUUAUAAUUUUUAUAUAUAUAUAAAUAUUUUAUUGGGGUAAUAAAAAGAUUUAUUAAAUUCUUUUUUUUAUUUGAUAUAGAUUAAUAGAUAUUUGAUCCAAUAUAUUUUGAUUAUAAGAUUAAGUUACCUUAGGGAUAACAGCGUAAUUUUUUUUGAGAGUUCAUAUCGAUAAAAAAGUUUGCGACCUCGAUGUUGGAUUAAAAAUUAUUUUAGGUGUAGAAGUCUAAAAAUUUGGUCUGUUCGACCAUUAAAUUUU